CGGGGUGAGUAAUGCUUGGGAAUCUGGCUUAUGGAGGGGGAUAACUACGGGAAACUGUAGCUAAUACCGCGUAGUAUCGGAAGAUGAAAGUGCGGGACCGUAAGGCCGCAUGCCAUGAGAUGAGCCCAAGUGGGAUUAGGUAGUUGGUGGGGUAAGGGCCUACCAAGCCUGCGAUCUCUAGCUGGUCUGAGAGGAUGGCCAGCCACACUGGAACUGAGACACGGUCCAG
rnacentral:rRNA from 1 species